rnacentral:rRNA from 1 species
UACGUAGGGGCCUAGCGUUGUCCGGAUUUAUUGGGCGUAAAGAGCUCGUAGGCGGUUUGGUAAGUCGGGUGUGAAAUCUCCACGCUCAACGUGGAGGGGCCACCCGAUACUGCCAUGACUGGAGUCCGGUAGGGGAGUGUGGAAUUCCCGGUGUGGCGGUGAAAUGCGCAGAUAUCGGGAGGAACACCGGUGGCGAAGGCGGUUCUCUGGGCCUUACCUGACGCUGAGGAGCGAAAGCGUGGGGAGCGAACAGG